GUAGUUCCUGCUGAUACAUGAAGACCUAUCAUAAAGUUAGAGCACUAAUAUCUUCCUCCAAGGUCCUCAAAUUGGUUGCAUAAAAUCCAUCUGCAAAAGAAAAGAAAGAAUGACAGCAACAUCAAGUCAAAAAAAUGAUCACUGUUGUGAGUACAUGUGAAGUACUUCAGAAAAUCAAGUGAAAAAUAUGCAUGUACCAUGAACAUAUAUAAUUUUCCAAGAAUUCACCUACUCCAUGCUGACAGUUUCCUGCAUGUCCUUGAAUUAGUUGACAGUAAACAAUAAGAUGCAGACUUAGGAUAUAAGGGAUGGAAGAGAAGCAUGAUUAUAAAUUUCGGCAGCAGUUCUCUUCAACCAAAUCCUCAAAUCCUUCAUAUUCAGUAUCCAAUCCCCAAAUUAGGAAUUCAAACAAGCUAAGCCAAGCCAAGUAGAAGGCUGCUUAGGCUCAGUUCUGCGUGGACUACGGAUGCUAAAACAGCAAAGAUUUCUACGUAUGAUGUAAAUGCAGAACACCGUCUCACAAAUCUAACAACAACAAAUAUUUGCAAGGAUCACCCAAAAAGUCACCGGAAAAUUUAUACAAAUGGCUAUAGCAUAUUUCUAGGCUUUUAAAAUUCAGGUUAUUUAGAACCGAGUUUUAAAAAAAAUAUAUAUUCUCCUUUAAUGUCCUCUUCUCUGCACAAUAGAGAUUUUGGAUUGGAAAGUCACUCAAAAUAUUGAACUUAGCCCUGUGGCACUUUUUUACCAUUUCACUAAGUGAGAAAUAACCUUAGCAAUUAACACUCUAAGGACAAAACGGAAUUAUUUCGGAAAAUCCUUUCCACUUGUAAUCUUAUUUGAACUCUAAAAAGAAUGGCCAGUACUUGAAAUUCUAGAGU
rnacentral:lncRNA from 1 species